AACGAACGCUGGCGGCAGGCUUAACACAUGCAAAUCGAGCGCCCCGCAAGGGGAGCGGCAGACGGGUGAGUAACGCGUGGGAAUCUACCCAUCCCUACGGAAUAGCUCCGGGAAACUGGAAUUAAUACCGUAUACGCCCUACGGGGGAAAGAUUUAUCGGGGAUGGAUGAGCCCGCGUUGGAUUAGCUAGUUGGUGGGGUAAAGGCCUACCAAGGCGACGAUCCAUAGCUGGUCUGAGAGGAUGAUCAGCCACAUUGGGACUGAGACACGGCCCAAACUCCUACGGGAGGCAGCAGUGGGGAAUAUUGGACAAUGGGGGCAACCCUGAUCCAGCCAUGCCGCGUGAGUGAUGAAGGCCUUAGGGUUGUAAGGCUCUUUCACCGGGGAAGAUAAUGACGGUACCCGGAGAAGAAGCCCCGGCUAACUUCGUGCCAGCAGCCGCCGUAAUAC
rnacentral:rRNA from 1 species